UGGCAGAUAGCAUUUAACAAAUAUCAUUAUUAUUGUUGGUAGUAUUAUUAAUAAUAAAAGCUGAGGAGUAAUAGAGAAAAGCCUCAGAGGUUUUCCUGGUGAAUGAGAUUUAAAUGUGACAGAGAACUAAACUGUCCAGAUAUACCCAAGGGACUUGCUCCCUGAGGAUCAUUUUUGGUGCAGCGCCCAUUCUUUCUUGUUGCCCAGGCUUUCCAACCCCUCAUAAUUGGACAGGCCGUGUGGAUGACAAGUAGAAUUUUCAUACCUGCCUGUUAUGAGUAGGAGAUGGCAGCUAGUAUUGCCUGAGCUGGCUGUCAGCCUGACAGAAAGGCAUAUUGCACACAGGUUCUGCCUGUGGGCCACUGCACUUGAUCCUUCAUGGACACACCUGUGGUACCUGUCCCCUCAGCAUCCAGAGAUUAUGUCCGUGACUCCUGAUUUUCCUCUGGUCAGUUUCUGGAACAAUGCAUUGCUUUUUCAGGGCUGAGCUCCCAGGGAUCCUUUCAAUAUGAGAGUAUUGGAAGAGAAAACAGACCUGCCAGCAUGAUACCAGCCGCUCGGCAAAGUGGUAACAUUUACUUCCAAUGAGAGGAGGGAGAACAAGUCCUGGAAAUUCGCUGGAGCAACAGGGAGAGCCCAGUGAGGGAAAACUAUGUAUCUUAUUCCAUGCUACUGCAUCAAGGGUCAUUCUCUGCUAGUCACAGUAGCUAUAAUCCCAUGGGCCAGAAAGUCUGUACCAAGUCAUGUGAACAGAGUCAUUGUAAUCAACUCUUCUGCUGCAUUCAAUUGCAGAUUCCAACUAGAAGCCACAGCACUAUAAAGCCUCUCCAAAUACAGGUGUAACCCACAAUUUAGCAGGAUUAUGUUUGUUGAAAAUGUGGCUGAAUCAAGAGGUGCAUUUCCACUUAUAGAUUAACAUGUUAUAAAUUGGGAUCCAUUCUAGAACCUCUGGAAAAAUAAUAUUUAAUUCCUCUGUCUGCUUUAGGCUGUGGUGUAAAUACCUCUAAACUAGUCUUUAUGAAAGUAAUUCUCAAAGCAUAACUUCACAACAUUAACCAAAUGAGGAGUUAUAAUAUGAUUGAGUCUCUAAGUAGCAACAGAAGAAGGAGGUUGUUCUGCUGCAGUGGAAUGGAUUUUCAGCUUUAAUGAAGAAGUGGUCCAAGGUCCUCCUGAACCUCACUGCACGCUAUUGACCUUUUCUGUCCAUCAGGGUCUUAUUCAUUUUCAUAACUCUUUCUUCAUUUAAAAAAAAAGAUGUAAGACUUUUUAAUCCUCAAAUCUUUAGCUGAUGAUGGAGAAAUCCUAACUUCUUCAUCUGUUCGGUUUCUUGAAGUAACGCACUGGAUUGUUGAGGCAUCAACCAACAAUGGACAAAUCCUCUGUUUGCAUGAAUCAUCUAGUGACUGUAAUCUGGGGUAAGGAAUUGAACAAUAAGGGCUCUGUCACUGGGUUGUAUGUAUCAUGGGGUGGCUGGAACUUGGGGUAUGUGGGUGCCAUUUUUUAUUUGCAAAAAGCUAAACUUCCCAGUCAUAAAAGUGGAAAUGACAUCUAGGAGCCAGGCCUGUAUUAGUAGGAAAAAUAUUAAAAAUACCAAAUUGCUUGCAUAUUGAUGGAAUGGUGUUGAUAAGCAUUUUCUUAAAAGGCUUAUUAAGAAAACUCUGUUCUGUCAUAAAUUGUAUUGCCUGUUCCUUUAAAGGUGAAUUGAAUGUGUCAGAUUUUAAAAUAAACUCUUUAUACUUAAAGGGGAAACAGGUAUUUUUUGCAUUUUUCCUUGACUUGUGAUUGACGGGGAGACAGUGCCCAAAUGGUGAUUGACUAUCGUGUAGUUCUGUGACAUGGUUUUUGUUGAUGCUUCUGUUGAUUUCCUUUUCAAAAUUCACAAAGACAAUUUUUGUUGUUGCCUUCAUAUCUCCGAGUGGGCUAGUAAAAUGAAAUUAACCCAAAAUGAAGAUAUUUAAAACGUGAGAUAAAAAAGACUCUGCUUGGAAGUUGAAGUCAUCCAGAAGGGCACGGCAGCAUAGAAAGGGAAGACAGGGCAAGUGAUUGCAGUUGAUUCAUGUUGCCAAGAAGUGGAAUUAACAGGGAUUAUUUGACCGUCAGAUUUAGGGAUGAAGAUUUAUGAACUGCUGACCUGUCCUUCCUUAGAAGCAGAGGUCUAAGUCGAGGAAAUGUAAUUUCCCCCCCACACCAGAAUGCGUUGGUUAUGCAAAUAUGCAAAUGUUACGAAGCAGCUGGUACCCCAACACAAGGCUCACUGGCUGCCCAAUGCCCAGAAGCAGUGCCCGACCUGGCAGGCUGCUCAUUUGUCAUCAUCUGCUCAAAUUCAGCCCAAUUUUCUCAGUGCCAUGCUGCAUGCUGAGUGGGGCCGGUCCGAGCCCAAUCCUGGGGCUAAUGGGCCUGUCCGUACCAUGCCUGUCCCCCCGGGGUGGGUUGCUCCUGCCCUGAGGCCCCAGGGCACUGCUGCAAUGUGAACACCCACUGUUGCAUGUGGGCACACUGUUUUAUCCCAUCUUCUUCCUUAGAGGUGCUGCCACCAAACCCUCUGCUACCACCAGCCUUUGACUUUGAGGUGGAAGUAUGAGGAGUCGGAAAAGCUGAGUGGGAGGCUUAAGGCUGGUUCUGGGCCAGGCAUGUCAGGGGAACCAGGGCAGGUUUGGGUCUCAAGGAGGAAGCUUCCGCUCAGCUCCUGAAUGUUGGCUUUGUAACUCAUUGAUUUGAGUUCCCAUUGUGAGCAGGGAAUGUCACUGUUUAUUGUUGUAUUGUACUUUCCCAAGUGCUUAAUACAGUACUCUGCACACAGUAAAUUCUCAGUAAAUAUGAUUGAAUGGAUGAAUUAAUUUGCCUUCUCAUCUCCAGUCAGUCUCCUGCCCCUGUCGCCCUCACCGUGGACUUCUUGGUUCCUGCCUACUUCCCUGAGGAUGCCGUCGCUGGGUAUGCAGGAAUGCUGAGUGGCCCAGAGGAUGCCCAAGCUUUCUAACUUCACUCUCCAAGGUCCCAGAGCUGUGCGAGUGCUAUCUGAGCCAACCAGGUAGGAGGCAGCCAGCGACUCUAAGGAACCACGCUAGGGCCAUGGACAUCUCUGAGAAAAAUCCAACUAUCCUCACCGUCGGUGGGCCUGCAAGAACCAGUGAAGCCGGCUAGCCAGGGAUGCCAAGGCCAAGUUUCACGGUGGCUAUUAGCUGGACCAUCCUCCUGCUCUACACGACUUGUUUUCCUCUGAGGUGAGAAGUCCCCUGACGAGGACAGGAGUCCAACACUGGCUCAGGACCCACCGGGCAGCAGAGGACAGUUUGGAGCUGAAGAAGCUGGCCCAGAGAACGGGAGGAAGGUGCCGGACAGGGACCUUCUCCCUGUUGAAGACAGUUACGAGGUCCAGCCUAGCCUCCGGCAAUGACCGUAUUUCCACUGCUGCACACAGGAAGGCCCGGCCCAGACACAAGAGGCUGAGGCACUGAUGUCAAAGAGUGAUGGGUGUUGGAAAUGACUGUCAUUUACGACUGGAAAGAGAAGACAUGCUACAGUGUUUUGAAGGGGUGCGACUGAGCUACUAAAUGGGAGGCUAAAAGGGAACAACAACCGAAUGGCCAAUUGCUGGCUAUGGGGGAGGAAAGGAAUGCCUAGGUCCAAGACAAUAUCCAUGAUUUUUGCUGCAUAUCUCACCCCAGCAUGGAUGUACUCAUCUUUAAAUUAUAUAUUAUAGAUUGUGUUUAUAUUAACAUCUGUCUCCCCCUUUAGACUGUAAGCUCACUGUGGGCAGAGGACGUCUUAAUUGUUGUACUGUCUUCUCCCAAGCAUUCAGAACAGUGCUCCUUACAAUAAAAACCACUGAUUG